GACGAACGCUGGCGGCGUGCUUAACACAUGCAAGUCGAACGAUGAUGCCCAGCUUGCUGGGUGGAUUAGUGGCGAACGGGUGAGUAACACGUGAGUAACCUGCCCCUGACUCUGGGAUAAGCGUUGGAAACGACGUCUAAUACUGGAUAUGACUGCCGGCCGCAUGGUCUGGUGGUGGAAAGAUUUUUUGGUUGGGGAUGGACUCGCGGCCUAUCAGCGUGUUGGUGAGGUAAUGGCUCACCAAGGCGACGACGGGUAGCCGGCCUGAGAGGGUGACCGGCACCGCUGGGACUGAGACACGGCCCAGACUCCUCCGGGAGGCAGCAGUGGGGAUUAUUGCACAAUGGGCGAAAGCCUGAUGCAGCAACGCCGCGUGAGGGAUGACGGCCUUCGGGUUGUAAACCUCUUUUAGUAGGGAAGAAGCGAAAGUGACGGUACCUGCAGAAAAAGCACCGGCUAACUACGUGCCAGCAGCCGCAGUAA
rnacentral:rRNA from 1 species